rnacentral:rRNA from 1 species
CCUACGGGAGGCAGCAGUGGGGAAUAUUGGACAAUGGGCGAAAGCCUGAUCCAGCAAUGCCGCGUGAGUGAUGAGGGCCUUAGGGUUGUAAAGCUCUUUUACCCGGGAUGAUAAUGACAGUACCGGGAGAAUAAGCUCCGGCUAACUCCGUGCCAGCAGCCGCGGUAAUACGGAGGGAGCUAGCGUUGUUCGGAAUUACUGGGCGUAAAGCGUACGUAGGCGGUUAUUCAAGUCAGAGGUGAAAGCCUGGGGCUCAACUCCAGAACUGCCUUUGAAACUAGAUAGCUAGAAUCAUGGAGAGGUCAGUGGAAUUCCGAGUGUAGAGGUGAAAUUCGUAGAUAUUCGGAAGAACACCAGUGGCGAAGGCGACUGACUGGACAUGUAUUGACGCUGAGGUACGAAAGCGUGGGGAGCAAACAGGAUUAGAUACCCUGGUAGUCCACGCCGUAAACGAUGAUAACUAGCUGUUCGGACCUUUAAGGUUUGAGUGGCGCAGCUAACGCAUUAAGUUAUCCGCCUGGGGAGUACGGUCGCAAGAUUAAAACUCAAAGGAAUUGACGG